rnacentral:rRNA from 1 species
AUGAAGGAGGAGAAAGAAACAAUAGUAACGUGGUCCCGGGCAUCUAGCAUUCUACCCACAAUGGUUGGCCAUACAAUCGCGAUUCAUAAUGGAAAGGAACAUAUACCUAUUUACAUAACAAAUCCUAUGGUAGGUCGCAAAGGGGAAUUCGUGCCUACUCGGCAUUUCACGAGUUAUGAAAAUGCAAGAAAGGAUACUAAAUCUCGUCGUUAA